GACGAACGCUGGCGGCGUGCUUAACACAUGCAAGUCGAACGGAAAGGCCCUGCUUUUGUGGGGUGCCCGAGUGGCGAACGGGUGAGUAACACGUGAGUAACCUGCCCUUGACUUUGGGAUAACUUCAGGAAACUGGGGCUAAUACCGGAUAGGAGCUCCUGCUGCAUGGUGGGGGUUGGAAAGUUUCGGCGGUUGGGGAUGGACUUGGGGCUUAUCAGCUUGUUGGUGGGGUAGAGGCCUACCAAGGCGUGGAUGGGUAGCCGGCCUGAGAGGGUGACCAGCCGCACUGGAAGGGAGACAGGGUCCAGGGGCCUACGGGAGGCAGCAGUGGGGAAUAGGGGAGAAUGGGGGGAAGCCUGAUCCAGCGGGGCCGAGUGUGUGAAGAAGGUCGCCGGAUUGGGAAGCACUGUCAGUGGGGAGGAAGCGCAGUAAGUUAAUACCGAGCUGUUUUGACGGUAACAGGAGAAAAAGCACCGGCUAACUUCGUG
rnacentral:rRNA from 1 species